rnacentral:rRNA from 1 species
CACGAACGCUGGCGGCGUGCUUAACACAUGCAAGUCGAACGAUGAAGCUGGAGCUUGCUCUGGUGGAUUAGUGGCGAACGGGUGAGUAACACGUGAGUAACCUGCCCUGGACUCUGGGAUAAGCGUUGGAAACGACGUCUAAUACCGGAUAGGACCUCGGAUCGCAUGAUCUGGGGUGGAAAGUUUUUCGGUCUGGGAUGGACUCGCGGCCUAUCGGCUUGUUGGUGAAGUAAUGGCUCACCAAGGCGUCGACGGGUAGCCGGCCUGAGAGGGUGACCGGCCACACUGGGACUGAGACACGGCCCAGACUCCUACGGGAGGCAGCAGUGGGGAAUAUUGCACAAUGGGCGCAAGCCUGAUGCAGCAACGCCGCGUGCGGGAUGACGGCCUUCGGGUUGUAAACCGCUUUUAGUAAGGAAGAAGGGGCUUCGGCCUUGACGGUACUUGCAGAAAAAGGACCGGCUAACUACGUGCCAGCAGCCGCCGUAACAC